GCUAUAGUAAUUUAUUAAAAUAAUAGUUUUGUAAACUAUUCAUGGACCCUCCCUUUAGCU
rnacentral:tRNA from 1 species